CUUGUACACACCGCCCGUCACACCAUGGGAGUGGGUUGCAAAAGAAGUAGGUAGCUUAACCUUCGGGAGGGCGCUUACCACUUUGUGAUUCAUGACUGGGGUGAAGUCGUAACAAGGUAACCGUAGGGGAACCUGCGGUUGGAUCACCUCCUUACCUUAAAGAAG
rnacentral:rRNA from 1 species